UACGUAGGGGGCAAGCGUUGUCCGGAAUCAUUGGGCGUAAAGCGCGUGUAGGCGGUCCGGUAAGUCGGCUGUGAAAGUCCAGGGCUCAACCCUGGGAUGCCGACCGAUACUGUCGGACUAGAGUUCGGAAGAGGCGAGUGGAAUUCCCGGUGUAGCGGUGAAAUGCGCAGAUAUCGGGAGGAACACCAAUGGCGAAGGCAGCUCGCUGGGACGUUACUGACGCUGAGACGCGAAAGCGUGGGGAGCAAACAGG
rnacentral:rRNA from 1 species